rnacentral:rRNA from 1 species
AGUGGCGCACGGGUGCGUAACGCGUAUACACCUACCUUAUACAGGGGUAUAGCCCAGGGAAACUUGGAUUAACACCCCAUAGUUUGGCAUCAUUAAAACUACGGUGGUAUAAGAUGGGUAUGCGUCCCAUUAGCUUGUUGGUGUGGUAACGGCACACCAAGGCAACGAUGGGUAGGGGCCCUGAGAGGGGGAUCCCCCACACUGGUACUGAGACACGGACCAGACUCCUACGGGAGGCAGCAGUGAGGAAUAUUGGACAAUGGGCGGGAGCCUGAUCCAGCCAUGCCGCGUGCAGGAAGACUGCCUAUGGGUUGUAAACUGCUUUUAUACGGGAAGAAACCCACCUACGUGUAGGUGGCUGACGGUACCGUAAGAAUAAGGACCGGCUAACUCCGUGCCAGCAGCCGCGGUAAUACGGAGGGUCCGAGCGUUAUCCGGAAUCAUUGGGUUUAAAGGGUCCGCAGGCGGCCAGAUAAGUCAGUGGUGAAAUUCCGUGGCUCAACCACGGAACUGCCAUUGAUACUGUUUGGCUUGAAUCAGUUCGAGGAUGCCGGAAUGUGUGGUGUAGCGGGUGAAUGCAUAGAUAUCACACAGAACACCAUUUGCGAAGGCAGGUGUCCAGACUGUAUUGACGCUGAUGGACGAAAGGGUGGUUAGCCGACAGAAUUAGAUACCCUGGUAGUCCACCCGGU